rnacentral:rRNA from 1 species
GUCUAUGGCCAUACCACCCUGAACACGCCCGCUAUCACCUGAUAUUGGAAGCUAAGCUGGGUUGGGCCAGGUUAGUACUCGGAUCAGAUGCUUUUUUUCCCAUAUUUUAAACAGGAUUUGUGGGGA